UUCCUCUCAACGUAGAGACACCUCUAGGAGAAGGGCUAUUGUUUUCGGCCGUGUGUGUCGGUUACCCCCUACUCCGUUUAGGCAGGAAGAUGUCUCUCCGUCUUCUCCUGCUCGGUGGUGGGUCUUUUCUCCUCUACUGCUAGGGUAUUUGGUGGUGGUUUCUCAUAAUUUUUCAUCUAGUGAUAGUUCAGUAGUGAUUGCUUAUAAAGAUCUAUCUUGGAAGGCAUGAUAGAGAUGUUGAAAAGUAUGACUUCUCCACCACCGUCGUUCUUACUUCAGUUCCACCAAAAUUCUACCUGGCCUGAGUUGAACUUUUUCGUCAUGCUUCUUCUCUCUGUUGCUUAAAUAUGGUGGCUUUUGUUUUAUUUGUUUUUUUCCUCUCCACUGUUCUCCUUUAGCAGUCUAUAUCUGCCAAUUUUUGUGCCCUCUUUGUCGUUUGGCUUUAGAUUGGAGUUUUCUUGGUCAGUUGGUUGUCGAUGUUCUAAACAUGUUUUUCCGCGUGACCGGAGAUGGAGAAGCAAGGAUCUAUUUGUUUCCGCUACUGGAUCUGAUUUCCGGUCAGGGUUUGGGCUUCAAGGGUUGGCUUUCUGUGUACUUUAUUUGCUUUGAGUUUGGGCCUUAGAGGCCUUGCAAUUACAUGUGUUGUUGGGUCUAGUCCCUUUUUUAAUGAAAUUAUCUAAUUUUUCGGAAAAAAAAAAAAAAAGUCAAACCCACUUGCCUCGGCUAGAUUCAAUAGAAAUUUAUAUUAUGAUUGAUUUUAGUAAAUUAUAAAUAAAAAAAAAAAAAAAAA